rnacentral:rRNA from 1 species
CCCCUAGAUGUUCUGGGCCGCACGCGCGCUACACUGAACAGUUCAACAAGUCUUAACCUUGGCCGAUAGGUCUGGGUAAUCUUUGAACGCUGUUCGUGAUUGGGAUAGACCUUUGCAAUUAUGGGUCUUCAACGAGGAAUUCCUAGUAAACGCAAGUCAUCAGCUUGCAUUGAUUACGUCCCUGCCCUUUGUACACACCGCCCGUCGCACCUACCGAUUGAAUGGUCCGGUGAAAUCUCGGGACGGCGGCUUGGUCGCUCGCGUCCGACUGCUGAAACUUGAUUAAACCAUAUCAUUUAGAGGAAGGUGAANUCGUAACA